rnacentral:lncRNA from 1 species
UCUUGUUACAAUACAAUACUGAAAUUAAAAUUUUAUUUACCCAGGAAGUGCUCCCAAGAGAAGUCUUUGAAAAUGGCAACCCAAGUUUUUGGGGGGCUCCGAAAGCAGCUGAACUUGAGAAAACAGUCAUAUCAAGGAAUCCUUGGAAAAUGUCUACGUAGGAUCCUGAAACCAUCCUAUUCCAAAUGAGAGUAUACAUUUUCCUGUGUUUGA